AAUAAGUGUAGUUUUGCACUGUUUAUGUCUCACUUUUGACCGUUCGUUUUAUUUAAAAAUUUUUUACGAUUAAUAUUUUUAUUGUUAUUAGAUGAUAAAAUAUAAAUAGUACUUUAUUUGUGACUAAUUUUAAUUUUCUCAUAAAUUUUUCAAAUAAGAUGGACGGUCAAAUGUUAGACAUGGAUUUUCACCGCUGCACUUAUU
rfam:Oryza sativa Japonica Group DNA, chromosome 7, cultivar: Nipponbare, complete sequence.